AUUGAACGCUGGCGGCAGGCCUACCACAUGCAAGUCGUGCGCGCGGCGGACGGGUGAGAAAUGUGUGGAGAUCUGCCUGAUGGAGGGGGAUAACUUCUGGACACGGUCUCUAAUACCGACUACUAUCAUAUGCACCCAUAUGGGAUUAGCUUGUAGGUAAGGUAACGGCUUACCUAGGCGACGAUCCCUAGCUGGUCUGAGAGGAUGAUCAGCCACACUGGGACUGAGACACGGCCCAGACUCCUACGGGAGGCAGCAGUGGGGAAUAUUGCACAAUGGGCGCAAGCCUGAUGCAGCCAUGCCGCGUGUAUGAAGAAGGCCUUAGGGUUGUAAAGUACUUUCAGUCGGGAGGCGUUACCGACAGAAGAAGCACCGGCUAACUCCGUGCCAGCAGCCGCGGUAAUAC
rnacentral:rRNA from 1 species